GAUGAACGCUGGCGGCGUGCCUAAUACAUGCAAGUCGAGCGAACGGACGAGAAGCUUGCUUCUCUGAUGUUAGCGGCGGACGGGUGAGUAACACGUGGAUAACCUACCUAUAAGACUGGGAUAACUUCGGGAAACCGUAGCUAAUACCGGAUAAUAUUUUGAACCGCUUGGUUCAAAAGUGAAUGACGGUCUUGCUGUCUCUUAUAGAUGGAUCCGCGCUGCAUUAGCUAGUUGGUAAGGUAACGGCUUACCAAGGCAACGAUGCAUAGCCGACCUGAGAGGGUGAUCGGCCACACUGGAACUGAGACACGGUCCAGACUCCUACGGGAGGCAGCAGUAGGGAAUAUGCCGCAAUGGGCGAAAGCAUGACGGAGCAAGGCCGCGUGAGUGAUGAAGGUCUUCGGAUCGUAAAACUCUGUUAUUAGGGAAGAAAAUAUGUGUAAGUAACUGAGAACAUAAUGACGGUACCAAAUAAGAAAGCCACGGCUAACUACGUG
rnacentral:rRNA from 1 species